rnacentral:rRNA from 1 species
AUUGAACGCUGGCGGCAGGCCUAACACAUGCAAGUCGAGCGGAUGAAGGGAGCUUGCUCCUGGAUUCAGCGGCGGACGGGCGAGUAAUGCCUAGGAAUCUGCCUGGUAGUGGGGGAUAACGUCCGGAAACGGGCGCUAAUACCGCAUACGUCCUGAGGGAGAAAGUGGGGGAUCUUCGGACCUCACGCUAUCAGAUGAGCCUAGGUCGGAUUAGCUAGUUGGUGGGGUAAAGGCCUACCAAGGCGACGAUCCGUAACUGGUCUGAGAGGAUGAUCAGUCACACUGGAACUGAGACACGGUCCAGACUCCUACGGGAGGCAGCAGUGGGGAAUAUUGGACAAUGGGCGAAAGCCUGAUCCAGCCAUGCCGCGUGUGUGAAGAAGGUCUUCGGAUUGUAAAGCUCUUUAAGUUGGGAGGAAGGGCAGUACGUUAAUACCUUGCUGUUUUGACGUUACCAACAGAAUAAGCACCGGCUAACUUCGUG